UAUGGCCUCCAGCUUGCUAGAUUGAGGUCUUAUUCCCUCUGAGCGGAUGGCAUGGCCCAGGUAAUCUACUUUGUUCUUAAAAAAGUUACACUUCUCCAUCUUAAGAGUCAGUUUGGCUUCCUUUAAGCGAUCCAGAAUUUGUUCUAAGUUAUCUGCGUGAUUAGAAAAUAUAUCGCCCAGGAUAAUUAUGUCAUCAAGGUACACCUGAACCUUGUUGCUUAAUAGUCCUGUAAGGACAGUGCUUAUUAUUUUCUUGAAGCAGGACGGGGCUGUUUUAAGGCCAAAGGGGAGGGAAGUAAAUUCCCAAUGUCCUGCUGGAGAAGAAAAUGCCGUCUUCUCUCUGCUGAUUUCAUCUUGGGGGAUUUGAUGGUAACCCUGUUUCAAGUCUAGGCAUGAAAAAAAAAUUACUAUCUCCCAAUUGAUUGAGUAUGGUAGUUAUAUUAGGGAGUGGGUACCGGUCGUCCCGUAGUGUUUUAUUAAGUGCCCGGAAGUCCAGACAAAGUCGUAGUACUCCAUCUUUUUGGGGCACUGUGAUAAGUGGGGCAUUAUAGGGUGAUCGCGAAGGGCGAAUCACACCCUGUAGCUAGAGCGAUAUAAGUUGUUCAUUUACUCUGUCAUGAUAACUGAUAGGAAUGUUAUAUGAACCCCUGUACACUACUUCAUCAGUGUUUUGCUUGAUGGUGCUUAAAAAAAAAUAGGGCGUUACUGUUAAUGGUUCUUGUUUUGUGGAAAACACUGUUAUAUAUUUAUCUAUUAAGGACUUUAAAACCUAAUUCUCUCUCUUCACUUGGGAAUUUAGCGUCAACAAUUUGAUAGAGGCUUUUCUUCCUUACUUCAAGCUCUGCGGGCUUCAAGUCUGUUUUAGCUGUGUCAGCGGUCUGUACACUAGAUACUUGUGGCAGAUCAGCGUAUAGCUCAUGAGUGACAGGCUUCACAAAUCCUAACGUUGUAUUAUCAUCUAUCCUUACACUCACUUUCAAUAUUCAAAUACGGCACAGUGACAUAAGAUCUUUGAUUGUCAGAUGAAGGGGUUAACUUAACUAUCCCUGAGCACAAGACUCUAGCCUGAGGAGUACUAACACAAGGCUCAAAUAAAGCUUCACUUGCCUGUAGUUGCGUCACUAGCGUUAUGUAACCUGCAACAGAUGCAUGCAGUUGCAAAGGUUCCGCUGCUUGGCAACGUACGGCCUUAUUUUCAGUGAGACCUUCUUCAUUUCCAUCUACAUUUAGCUAAGAUCCUUCACCUCUAGAUAUAAGACAUAUUUUUCCUGGCAUAAUUGUAUGGUUUCCCCUUCUAUUAUCAGUUUUAAGCUUCGUUCUUUUGUUCCUCAUUUAGUUGCAAUGUUUUCAAAAUAAUCUCGUGCUACACGACAAAUCAGUACUCAACAUAAUAUGAGUCGGCAAAUCUACAUCGCGUGUUAUCAAUAAGUCUUGGAAACUACUUUUUCCUUCCAUAUUAACUUGUCUUUUACCGUCAUUUUCAAUAUGGUAUCUUUGCACAGAGACAAUAUUCACGGGUUUCGCUUCACAGUUAUUUACUGCGAGCCCUAAUUCUUUAAUAAAUUCAUCCGUUAAAAACUCACACACGCUCCUGUUUCUAGGAGCGCUGCCACUUUUGCAUAUGUAUUAUCAUGAGUAGUGCGAUCUGCCUAACAAAGUUACUCUUGAGUUAUGUUAAUUAUAGCCUUCUUUUCAUUAUUUUUAAGGUCACUCCCUUGUUCGUUAUAGCCUUCUUUUCCUUAUAUUUAUGUGAGGCGGUUACUCCCUUGUUCGUUAUAGCCUUCAUCUUAUUAUAUUAAAGGUUACUCCCUUGUUCGUUAUAGCCUUCAUCUUAUUAUAUUAAAGGUUACUCCCUUGUUCGUUAUAGCCUUCAUCUUAUUAUAUUAAAGGUUACUCCCUUGUUCGUUAUAGCCUUCAUCUUAUUAUAUUAAAGGUUACUCCCUUGUUCGUUAUAGCCUUCAUCUUAUUAUAUUAAAGGUUACUCCCUUGUUCGUUAUAGCCUUCAUCUUAUUAUAUUAAAGGUUACUCCCUUGUUCGUUAUAGCCUUCAUCUUAUUAUAUUAAAGGUUACUCCCUUGUUCGUUAUAGCCUUCAUCUUAUUAUAUUAAAGGUUACUCCCUGUUUUGUUCUUCGCUCAUUUUCCGUUUUUUCCACUGCAAGUGUGCAUAUUUAUUUAUUUAUUUUCAUUUGUUUAUUUAAUGUUAUUUGUAGUAGAUAACUGAGGGGGGCACUACCCUGGCCUCCUCUUCCUCUGAUUCUCUUACUUCACACAUUUAUCUUAAUACUUCACACUAUUGUCCAUAUGCUUCAUUUUUUUAUUUUUUUAUUCAUGACUUUUUAUCCAUAGCUCACACUUUUCUUAGUAUUUCACAUUUUUUCUAGAUCAUACUCUACACUUCCUACCUGGGGGACGCGGGUUAGGCCUUUAUAAAGUCACUCUAUGGCUGCAUGCCCGCCGCGGCACACCACCACCCUGUGAGGCGUAGAGCCCCGUGCUCCCCUCCAUCCUGGGGUAACAAUCCUAAAACAAACAAACCUGAGAGGCAGGACGCUGCCGCUGCCUGUCACCUGACACCCUCUCACUGAUGAAUGGAUCGCGGCGCGGGUGGAGAGAGACUGCCCAUCCCUUUCCACUCCGCCCGGGAAGGAACUCAUGAAUUCUCGGUUGAGUCGCGUGUGCUACCCAUUGCACUACAGAACAACAGUGGUUGGCCAGAGUUUCCAUUACCAUAUCGUCAAAGUCCAUGUCCUCCGGAAGAACCAUUAAUUAUAUAAUUAAAUCGUCACUAUUAUUUCCGCCACUUAAAACGAGCAAAGCUUAAUGAAAAUAAGAGGCGUUUUCUCGUCAGAGUAAAUUAAACAAAAGCACUGUAAGCACAUGUCCCUAUUUAUCCCUAUACCGCUGCCGCCAGUUUUAGACCCUUCUUUUCUUGUAUUAAAUCAACUCUUUUAUCACUCAUUAAUUACUCCAUAAAUGAUCUCACCGUCUCGUAUCCCUGGUAGCGUGAUCCGGCUUAAGUUGUUAUUGGAGACUGGUGUUCGGGGAUAAACAAGGGAAAAAGAUAAUACUAUACAUUUAUUUAAAAUUAAAUGAAAGUAAUUGCCUUACGCAAUAUUCUAUGCUCAGACGAUCAUAACACUGGCAUAUUCAGCAAUGGAUGCAACAUAUGACAAACGACAUGUCUUAAACAUAAUACUACAAUAUGUGCUCAGUUGUUGCCAAUAAUAAUAACACUCGUCGUUCCACAAGCAGUGGUUUGUAUCUCUCUGCUUACAUCACAAUCAUUAUGUACUCUCUUCACAAAAUCCUAAUAACACAUUCCUAUAGUAUAAUCUACUACAAGUCAUGGAAACACCCAAUUUUACCACACCCAGUGGUUUUACCUUUGCUUUACAUCGCAAACAAAUAAUCACAAUCCUGUCCCACUCACAAUCCUACUUCACAUCUCCUACAUUAUAAUCUCCAGGACAAUACAGUCGGUUUCCCUUAGAUUCUCGAAUUUCUACUCACGAUUAAGAUCACAACAGCCAUCCUCGGCUGAGUGAGUAGCAGGUCUGCUUGAGGCGAGAACCAAGCUCGGUCUACCUAUAUCACUGAUUUCUAGGCCACAUUUUUCUUUGCUUUAGGCGGACUUACAUCCUUGACACGCCCUUAAUUUUCUACAUAACCAAUGGCCAAUACUUCCUGUCACACCCAUCUGGUCGCUCAUUAUGUUGUAUUGUUUUACUUCUCCUGCUAUUCGUGAGUCAGUCUUAAGACACUCCCACAGUGAUUUUUCUGUUAAAUUAUUGGCUCAUAACAUGUCGCCACAACUGACGUCACGGGUCAGAGUCUUUUUCAAUGGUUGUUCACACUUUCUGACCACGCCCACUGGGUAUCUGUUUUAUGUAUCUGAGUCUGGGUAUCUGUUUUCCUUUACCCUCGUUGUUUCCCCUCUUUGGUCCUUGAGAUGCUUACACUGUUAUAUAUGUCACUUUUUUUGUUAGUGUUUGUCCUGUCAGAUGUCUACACAGUUGUAUACCUGCCUUUCCUCUCUGGGUAUCUGUUUUCCUUUACCCUCGUUGUUUCCCCUCUUUUGUACUUGAGAUGUUUACGCUUAUAUAUAUGUCACCCUUUUUGUUAGUGUUUGUCCUGUCAGGUGUUUACACAGUUGUAUAUCUCACUCCUCUGUUUCCUCGUUUUCUGGGUC